UAGUGGCGAACGGGUGAGUAACACGUGAGUAACCUGCCCUUAACUCUGGGAUAAGCCUGGGAAACUGGGUCUAAUACCGGAUAUGACUCCUCAUCGCAUGGUGGGGGGUGGAAAGCUUUAUUGUGGUUUUGGAUGGACUCGCGGCCUAUCAGCUUGUUGGUGAGGUAAUGGCUUACCAAGGCGACGACGGGUAGCCGGCCUGAGAGGGUGACCGGCCACACUGGGACUGAGACACGGCCCAGACUCCUACGGGAGGCAGCAGUGGGGAAUAUUGCACAAUGGGCGAAAGCCUGAUGCAGCGACGCCGCGUGAGGGAUGACGGCCUUCGGGUUGUAAACCUCUUUCAGUAGGGAAGAAGCGAAAGUGACGGUACCUGCAGAAGAAGCGCCGGCUAACUACGUGCCAGCAGCCGCGGUAAUACGUAGGGCGCAAGCGUUAUCCGGAAUUAUUGGGCGUAAAGAGCUCGUAGGCGGUUUGUCGCGUCUGCCGUGAAAGUCCGGGGCUCAACUCCGGAUCUGCGGUGGGUACGGGCAGACUAGAGUGAUGUAGGGGAGACUGGAAUUCCUGGUGUAGCGGUGAAAUGCGCAGAUAUCAGGAGGAACACCGAUGGCGAAGGCAGGUCUCUGGGCAUUAACUGACGCUGAGGAGCGAAAGCAUGGGGAGCGAACAGGAUUAGAUACCCUGGUAGUCCAUGCCGUAAACGUUGGGCACUAGGUGUGGGGGACAUUCCACGUUUUCCGCGCCGUAGCUAACGCAUUAAGUGCCCCGCCUGGGGAGUACGGCCGCAAGGCUAAAACUCAAAGGAAUUGACGGGGGCCCGCACAAGCGGCGGAGCAUGCGGAUUAAUUCGAUGCAACGCGAAGAACCUUACCAAGGCUUGACAUGAACCGGUAAUACCUGGAGACAGGUGCCCCGCUUGCGGUCGGUUUACAGGUGGUGCAUGGUUGUCGUCAGCUCGUGUCGUGAGAUGUUGGGUUAAGUCCCGCAACGAGCGCAACCCUCGUUCUAUGUUGCCAGCACGUGAUGGUGGGGACUCAUAGGAGACUGCCGGGGUCAACUCGGAGGAAGGUGGGGACGACGUCAAAUCAUCAUGCCCCUUAUGUCUUGGGCUUCACGCAUGCUACAAUGGCCGGUACAAAGGGUUGCGAUACUGUGAGGUGGAGCUAAUCCCAAAAAGCCGGUCUCAGUUCGGAUUGGGGUCUGCAACUCGACCCCAUGAAGUCGGAGUCGCUAGUA
rnacentral:rRNA from 1 species